GACCGGCCGGAUCCGCCGCGGGCGCUGCGCCUCUGGGGCCGCUCGGGCUCCUGGCUGGGCCUGGCCUGGGAGCCGGGCUGGGACGGGGGCCUGCCCCAGCACUUCCUGCUCCGCGCGGAGGGCCCGGACGCCCCUCCCCCACCCGCCGCCCUCGUCACUUCCGGUUUCUCCCUCCCGCUGGGCGGGCUCCGCCCGGCCACGCCCUAUGACGUCACCCUGCGCGCCCGCAACGCCCGCGGGGACAGCGCCCCCGUGCGGCUGAGAGCCGUCACUUCCGCCCUGCCCGAGGCCCCGCCCCCGGCGCGGGAGGGAGCCGGCGGCGCCCCCUGGUGGCGGGGGAGGACCCGCUGUGGCCCGUCCUGCAGGGGGCGCUGUGCGCCCUGGGGGGGCUCCUCCUCCUGGCCGGGCUGGGGGCGGGGCUCGGCUGCUGCUACUUCCGGUGGGGCGGGGCGGCGCCGCCGCGAGGCCGCGGAGGG